rnacentral:rRNA from 1 species
CCCUUAGAUGUUCUGGGCGGCCCGCGCACUACAAUGGCGCUUUCAGCGAGUUCCUAUGUUGAAUUUUCCUUGGUAUUCUUGGAAGUGGCGUCUUGACUUGGGAUAGAUCCUUGUAAUUGUUGGUUUUGAACGAGGAAUUCCUUGUAAUCGCGGUUGAUCAGCUCGCGUUGAAUACGUCCCUGCCCUUUGUACACACCGCCCGUCGCUCCUACCGAUGAAUCGUCCGGUGAAGUUCACAGAGUGGCGGUUCGUGGAGUUGCUCGCGAAGUGAAAUGGACCUCACGAUUUAGAGGAAGGAGAAGUCGUAACA